GGGGCUGUAGCUCAAUGGUAGAGCCUCUGCCUUGAAUGCAGAAGGUCACGGGUUCAAUCUCCGGCAUCUCCA